rnacentral:rRNA from 1 species
GACGAACGCUGGCGGCGUGCCUAAUACAUGCAAGUCGAGCGAUGAAGAUUGGUGCUUGCACCAAUUUGAAGAGCAGCGAACGGGUGAGUAACGCGUGGGGAAUCUGCCUUUGAGCGGGGGACAACAUUUGGAAACGAAUGCUAAUACCGCAUAACAACUUUAAACAUAAGUUUUAAGUUUGAAAGAUGCAAUUGCAUCACUCAAAGAUGAUCCCGCGUUGUAUUAGCUAGUUGGUGAGGUAAAGGCUCACCAAGGCGAUGAUACAUAGCCGACCUGAGAGGGUGAUCGGCCACAUUGGGACUGAGACACGGCCCAAACUCCUACGGGAGGCAGCAGUAGGGAAUCUUCGGCAAUGGACGAAAGUCUGACCGAGCAACGCCGCGUGAGUGAAGAAGGUUUUCGGAUCGUAAAACUCUGUUGGUAGAGAAGAACGCUGGUGAGAGUGGAAAGCUCAUCAAGUGACGGUAACUACCCAGAAAGGGACGGCUAACUACGUG